rnacentral:rRNA from 1 species
UAGUCAUAUGCUUGUCUCAAAGAUUAAGCCAUGCAUGUCUAAGUAUAAGCAAAUUAUAAAGUGAAACUGCGAANNGCUCAUUAAAUCAGUUAUCGUUUAUUUGAUGAUCUCUUACUACAUGGAUAACCGUGGUAAUUCUAGAGCUAAUACAUGCGCAAAGUCCCGACCUCUGGAAGGGAUGUAUUUAUUAGAUAAAAAACCAAUGCCUUCGGGCUUCUUGGUGAUUCAUAGUAACUUAACGAAUCGCAUAGCCUUGCGCUGGCGAUAGUUCAUUCAAAUUUCUGCCCUAUCAACUUUCGAUGGUAGGAUAUGGGCCUACCAUGGUUUCAACGGGUAACGGGGAAUUAGGGUUCUAUUCCGGAGAGGGAGCCUGAGAAACGGCUACCACAUCCAAGGAAGGCAGCAGGCGCGCAAAUUACCCAAUCCCGACACGGGGAGGUAGUGACAAUAAAUACUGAUACNGGGGGCUUCUGCUUCUUGUAAUUGGAAUGAGUACAAUUUAAAUCUCUUAACGAGGAACAAUUG